rnacentral:lncRNA from 1 species
UUUGGCCUUCUCUCAGGGAUGGAGAUAACUCGAUACUCCCAGUCACAGAGAAGAAACUGAACAUCAAGGAGAAAGUGGUUACCCUUAUCCAUGGAAGACAUAUGGCUACUCAACAGAAUCCUGAAACCAUGGAACUUCCCACCUCUGACCUUGUACAUCAUUCAGGCCAGGAUGUGACUGAACCUGGGGCUGUUUGAACUUGUAUCUUCUCAGUUUUGUCAUGGCUACUUCAUCUUGUUUUCAGAUGUCAGCUCUGAGAUGUAACAGUGGGUACCUCUCUUGCUCCAUCACAUUCUCUAAAUUACCAUCUCUCUAGAUCUUAAAAUAUGUGAAAUGAUUUGUCAUCUGGGUUCCCCUGUGCUCCACCCCCGACUCCUAGGACAGAGGUUCCCCAGGGGCUGAGUUACA